AUGAACGCUAGCUACAGGCUUAACACAUGCAAGUCGAGGGGCAGCAUUUCAGUUUGCUUGCAAACUGGAGAUGGCGACCGGCGCACGGGUGAGUAACACGUAUCCAACCUGCCGAUAACUCGGGGAUAGCCUUUCGAAAGAAAGAUUAAUACCCGAUGGUAUAAUCAGACCGCAUGGUCUAAUUAUUAAAGAAUUUCGGUUAUCGAUGGGGAUGCGUUCCAUUAGGCAGUUGGUGAGGUAACGGCUCACCAAACCUUCGAUGGAUAGGGGUUCUGAGAGGAAGGUCCCCCACAUUGGAACUGAGACACGGUCCAAACUCCUACGGGAGGCAGCAGUGAGGAAUAUUGGUCAAUGGGCGCAGGCCUGAACCAGCCAAGUAGCGUGAAGGAUGACUGCCCUAUGGGUUGUAAACUUCUUUUAUAUGGGAAUAAAGUUUUCCACGUGUGGAAUUUUGUAUGUACCAUAUGAAUAAGGAUCGGCUAACUCCGUGCCAGCAGCCGCGGUAAUACGGAGGAUCCGAGCGUUAUCCGGAUUUAUUGGGUUUAAAGGGAGCGUAGGUGGACAGUUAAGUCAGUUGUGAAAGUUUGCGGCUCAACCGUAAAAUUGCAGUUGAUACUGGCUGUCUUGAGUACAGUAGAGGUGGGCGGAAUUCGUGGUGUAGCGGUGAAAUGCUUAGAUAUCACGAAGAACUCCGAUUGCGAAGGCAGCUCACUGGACUGCAACUGACACUGAUGCUCGAAAGUGUGGGUAUCAAACAGGAUUAGAUACCCUGGUAGUCCACACAGUAAACGAUGAAUACUCGCUGUUUGCGAUAUACAGUAAGCGGCCAAGCGAAAGCAUUAAGUAUUCCACCUGGGGAGUACGCCGGCAACGGUGAAACUCAAAGGAAUUGACGGGGGCCCGCACAAGCGGAGGAACAUGUGGUUUAAUUCGAUGAUACGCGAGGAACCUUACCCGGGCUUAAAUUGCAUUUGAAUAUAUUGGAAACAGUAUAGCCGUAAGGCAAAUGUGAAGGUGCUGCAUGGUUGUCGUCAGCUCGUGCCGUGAGGUGUCGGCUUAAGUGCCAUAACGAGCGCAACCCUUAUCUUUAGUUACUAACAGGUCAUGCUGAGGACUCUAGAGAGACUGCCGUCGUAAGAUGUGAGGAAGGUGGGGAUGACGUCAAAUCAGCACGGCCCUUACGUCCGGGGCUACACACGUGUUACAAUGGGGGGUACAGAAGGCAGCUACCUGGUGACAGGAUGCUAAUCCCAAAAGCCUCUCUCAGUUCGGAUCGAAGUCUGCAACCCGACUUCGUGAAGCUGGAUUCGCUAGUAAUCGCGCAUCAGCCAUGGCGCGGUGAAUACGUUCCCGGGCCUUGUACACACCGCCCGUCAAGCCAUGAAAGCCGGGGGUACCUGAAGUACGUAACCGCAAGGAGCGUCCUAGGGUAAAACUGGUAAUUGGGGCU
rnacentral:rRNA from 1 species